UGCCAACUUUAAUUGGCAACUCAAUUAUGCAAGUGAAGGUUAUGUGAGGGGGAGAUAUGAAAUUAACCUCUCCUAUAGUUGCUAGUUAAUUGGCUUGGAAUAUUUUAAUAAUGCCAAGAGGGAAAUAAGUUUUUAAUAAAUCAUUUUGCAAAACUCCACCUUACCUUAUGAUUUUAUCGGGCAUGAAGGAGGUAUUAAUUAUAAAAAAGUAAAGGAGAUUAAAACCAGUUUAUUUCUCAACCUUGAUAUAAUUUUUAUCGAGCAUUUUGGGAGGGAAAAAGGUAUUUUCAUCUUCUUCGAGCAUUCUUGGUGUGAAGGGUCGAAGCUUCUCUUGGAAGCCAAAAUGCAGAUCACGUGAGGGAAUAAGCAUGCCUUGUGUGACUCCUUGGGCAUUUUGAUAAUCCUGCUUGGUAUUAGGGCGUAGGAUUGAGACCACGUUUGGUAUAUAAAACCAAAAGGAAAAGAGAGGAGAUAUUUUUUUACGGUUGGCUUUUGGUAAACGGCAGACGGUAAGGGUUGUUGUGCGUUUUCUGCCAUUAUCAGCACUAUUAUUUCACACUUUUGAGGGUCUUCGGCUGGGUUACUUCUUUUCUCAGGUCAUUCUAUCUCCCAGACCUGCGAUUUCCUCUUCCUCUUACAGUUAUUUGGUUUCUCAGAUAGAAAUUAGAAGGAAGAAAUGCAUAUAUGCUUCUGUGGUUUUAAAGUACAGAAAGUCUGAAAAUAUUUCAUGGAAUUCUUACGGGUUAGAAACCCUUAUGCAUUGGUAUGAAACAUAGUGUUGUUACUUCAGUUCUUAGUAAAUAAUUUUCAGUUUGAAAUUAGUCCAUAAAAUUUUGAAAGGGGUUUCAGGUAGCUGAAAACGAAAUUUGAGGAGAGGUAUUCUUGCAUACAUAUUUGUUUAUAUAAAUGGGAAUAUAUACACAAAUAUGUAUGUAAGGAUGCCUGCAGGUCUGGAACUUACUAUUAUGCCCUUUAAAACAUGUUUGGAAAGAGAGGAAAAGAAUUAAAAACUCAUACCUUUCUUGGAUGAGGGUUAAACUUGUAUAAAAAGAAAAUGCAAGCCUAUUCUCUGCAGUGUUCACUAUUUGGAAUAUUAAGGAAGGAAGGAAUGAAUGUCAUUACUGUUAUAUAUGUUGUAAGUAGAAGCAUAAUCUUGAGAGAGCAAUUUAUUUUUAGAAGGCAAGAUAUCUCUAUUACAAUAAUCCUGUUGUCAUCUUCCUAAAACAAGGAAAUUAAAUAUUCAGCAACCUCGAUAGAAGAACUGAAACUAAACAGCAAACUGUGGAUUAAUUUUAUAGACUCACUUGUAAAUCGCAGUUAAGCUACAGUUUGGAAUAAAUCUUACCACAGAAUCUCUGCUCUUUAUGAAAUUUUAAGACAGUAUAACACAAAGGACAAGGCCAUUGUUAAUUUUCGACUAAAGUAAACUAAGCCUUAAACCUUAUGUUAGGACCGAAAGGCAACUGAGAGGGGGGUGGUGAAUCAGUUGUCUAUGAAUUUCAACCCAAUUAUGAAUUACUUCAACUUAAUACUUAAUACCAGUAAACCAAUCUUAAUGUCGGUUAACAGAUUAACAGUGAAUAUCAAUACCGGUAAAACUUAAAGUAUGAAACAGAAAUAGAAACAACAUCCACAACACAUAACACAGAGAUUUUUGACGUGGAAACCCUGUAAGGGGAAAAACCACGGUGGGAAACCUUACCCACAAUCAGAUGAUACUACUACAGAUAGUAUGUGUACAUAAAUGGGGUCUGCACAUGUCGAACAGCCAACCGCCCAGAGCACACUGCUCAAAUGGCAGUCGCAAUGACUACAGCAGGAUGGUUAAAUCCUAGAAUAAUGUACUGCUCAAAAUAGCAUCUCCAAUGCUAGAUUCAAUACCGGUUUAAGCUCUGAUAAACACCUUCAAACCUUCCUCUAACCUUCGAAUGAUGUCUACUUGAAUAGCUCUAUGAUCUGCUCAUAUUCGCAUAUACCAAAUACCACACUGUUACAUUUUUAUCUCACAAAUGAGAUCUUACAUUUAUACCAAACCUAAGACCAAAUGUGUAGGUCGGCUCACUAAGAGUAUUACAUUAAAAUCAAUUACAAAAUAUAUCCAAGAUGUCGGCUUCAAUACAAUAACCAAUAAUAAAUCAUCUCCAUAACGUGUUGUGCUGAUCUAGAAUAGAUAAUGUGUACUUGUCCAUGACCUAGACCUAUCUGCCAGUAACAGCAAAUAUGUCAAGCCGAAUAGAUCAAUAACCAAAACACUAAAACCAAGUAUCCAAACCAUGUCUUCGACAUAACCAAGUGAUCUCCAGAUGAUAACAAUUCUUCAUCAGUGUCGGUGAACAUAUAUUGGUGACUGUGCAUAAGUCACUAACCUUGCCGGUGAACACAAUGUAUCGGUUCAACAUAACCAUAGAUCUCUAGAAGGAUAAGUGUUGACAUCAAUGACAAAACUAAUGCAACACAUCCAUAAUACCAACAAUCUCCCCCUUUGGCAUUGAUGGCAACACUAGAGGGAAAAACAUCUAAGUGCCAAAGCAAAAUGCCAAAAACCAAAAACCAACAAUCUCCCAAAGUAGAGAUCAAUACCAGAAAUCAAAAACCAAAAUGCAGAGAGUAUAUAACUCUCCCCCAAUGAAUAAUCUCUCCAAAAGAAUAAUUUUUCCCCAAAGGAUAAUGUUUUUCCAUAGAUAUCUUUCCCCCUUUGACAUCAAAUGUCAAAGCAAUAAAGAAAAUAUACUAGAACAUUCAACCAACUACUCCCCCUGAGAAGUAGCUCUCCUCCAUCAAAGUCGGAAAAAGGUUUCUGUGUUAGUUACUGUCGGUUUGAUGCCAAUCUCCAAUCAUCUAAGUCUCUGCUGGUGAGGGUAUUAUCCCAAGCUGCUCUCUGAGAUAUUCAAAAGUUUCCUUAGGCAAAGGCUUUGUAAAGAUAUCUACAAUCUGCUCUUUAGUAUUCACAUAAACCAAUUUCACUUCUUUUGCUUCAACAUUCUCUUUCAGAAAGUUCUACUUAAUAGAAACAUGUUUAGUCUUAGAGUGAAAUACUGGAUUCUUUGAUAUAUCAAUUUUUGUUGAAUUGUCACAAUAGAUGAUUAUAGGUUCUUUGCAUUUUACCUUUAUGUCCUUCAACAUUUGCUUAAUCCAUAAUACCUGAGUACAAUUAGUUGCUGCUACGACAUAUUAUGAUUCUGCUGUUGAUAAUGAAGUACAACUCUGCUUCUUGCUUAACCAAGAAAUCAAUCUGCUACCAAGAAAGAAUGCUCCGCCGGUGGUGCUUUUUCUGUCAUCAACAUCUCCUGCCCAACUUGCAUCUGUGUAUGCACAUAAAUCAAAAAUUUCAUCUUUAGGAUACCAUAAACCAAUAUUUGUUGUGCCUUGUAGGUAUCGAAAAAUCAUUUUUACUGUUGAUUCAUGAUUUUCUUUAGGAUUACUCUGAAAUCUUGAAACAAUACAUACUGCAUUCAUUAUAUCAGAUCUUGUUUGUGUCAAAUACAGUAAACCUCCAAUCAUAGAUUUGUAUCUUGUCAGAUUAACAGGAGUUGAAUCAUCUUUUAAUGAUAAUUUGUCAAUUGUAGUCAUAGGAGUACUUACCAGUUUAAAGUUUUCCAUACCAAAUUUCUUCAGUAGUUCUUUCAAGUACUUUGUUUGACAUAUGAAUAUAACUUUAUCAGUUUGUGAAAUCUGCAAUCCUAAGAAGAAUUUUAUCUCACCAAUCAUAGACAUUUCAAAUUCUUCCUGCAUCUUGUUAGCAAAGUCCUUACACAAUCCAUCUUUUCCUCCAAAAAUGAUAUCAUCAACAAAAACUUCAAUAACCAAGAUUUCAUCAUUAGUCACUUUGUAGUAUAAGUUGUUGUCAACAUUACCUUUAGUGUAACCAAGUUUCAAAAGAUAUUUGUGUAAUCUACCAUACCAAGCUCUAGGAGCUUGCUUCAAUCCGUACAAAGUUUUCCUUAAUCUGCAAACCAUAUCUUUAUCAUUUGUCAAUGAAAAUCCAUCAGGUUGUUCAAUGUAAACUUCUUCCUCAAGAUCACCAUUCAGAAAUGCACAUUUUACAUCCAUCUGAUAAACUUUGUAGUUCUUAUGAGCUGCAAAUGCAAGAAAUAAUCUAACUGCCUCAAUUCUGGCUACCGGUGCAAAGGUUUCAUUAUAAUCAAUUCCUUCUUUCUAUGAAUAUCUUUUACAAACUAAUCUUGCUUUGUUUCUGAUUACUUUACCAUCUUCAUUAAGUUUGUUUCUAAAUACCCAUUUAGUUCCAAUUACAUUUUUGUUUUUAGGUCGGGGAACUAAUGUCCAUGUAUUGUUCUUUUCAAUUUGUUCUAAUUCAUCUUCCAUUGCUUUUAUCCAAUGUUCAUCCUAACAUGCUUCAAUAACAGUUGCUGGUUCAAUUUGAGAAAUUAAGCAUACCUCUUCACUUGCCAGUCUUCCUCUUGUCCUAACACCUUGAUACUUAUUCCCAAUUAUCUGAUUUUCAGAGUGAUUCAGUCUUACAUACUUGGUUUUGUUCCGAUGUUGUUGUUCUUUAGUCACAGUGGAAUUCUCUGAUGAUGCCGGUGUGACUGGAUCAACAUUCUGUACCGGUGCACUUUGUAGUGUUUCAUUUAUGAUCAUCUCAACUGUCGGUUUAGAAUCUACAGACCUUGUAUUUCCUCUAAAUUGUUCAUCUAUCUUCACAUUAGCACCCUCAAUGAUCUUCUUCUUUUAUUAAAACAUCUAUAUGCCUUGCUCUUAGAUGAAUAACCAAGAAAUAUUCCUUCAUCACUUCUAGGAUCAAAUUUACCAAUAUACUCAUCUCUCCUAAUAUAACAUUUGCUUCCAAAUAUUCUGAAAUACUUAAGAGUAGGAGUAUUACCAAACCAUAGUUCAUAAGGGGUCUUACCAGUUUCACCUUUGAUGUGAACUCUGUUGAAAGUGUAGACUGUUGCAUUUACUGCUUCUCUCCAAUACAUGUGAGGUAGAUUAGCUUCCAAUAUCAUGCUUCUAGUUGCUUCCAAAUAGUUUUGUUUUUCCUUUCCACAAUCUCAUUCUGUUGAGGUGUCUGGGGUGCUGAUAGUUGUCUUUUGAUUCCAUUCACUUCACAGAAUGUAUUAAAUUCCUUAGAUGUAAAUUCACCUCCUUGAUCAGAUCUCAAACAUUUGAUUUUCUUACCAAUUUCAUUCUCUACCAUUGCCUUGAAUAACUUGAAUUUCCCAAAAGAUUUUGAUUUCUCCCUGAGAAAAGUAACCCAACACAUUCUAGAAUAAUCAUCAAUAAUUAGCAUAAAGUAUCUAUCUCCCUAUACACUUCUUGUUCUUGCCAGACCACAUAAGUCGGUAUGAAUUAAGUCAAGAACAUUAUUGGAUUUCUCAUAAAUACUUUUAAAAGUUGUUCUAACUUGCUUUCCCAUUUGGCAUUCCUUACAUACCGUAUUAUGAGGAUUCACAAUCUUAGGUAAAUCCCUUACUGCCUUAGUUGAGCUAAUUUUUACAAUGCAAUCAAAAUUUACAUGACAGUCUCUCUUAUGCCAUAACCAACUCUCAUCAAUAUGUGCAAUCAAACAUGUUUUGUCACUGUUAUUCAAAUGAAAUUUAUUACCUUUAGUUUGAUUACCGGUUGCAAUCUCCAAUCCAAUUCUGUUUCUGAUUUUGCAUUUUCCAUUCUUGAAUUGUAACUGAAAUCCCUUUUCAACUAAUUGACCAACACUCAAAAGAUUAUGCUUCAAUCCUUCAACAUAAUAAACAUUGUCGGUGUUAUGCUUAACAUCCAAGGAUAUGGAGCCUUUUUCUUUGAUCAAACAAGCUUUAUCAUCCCCAAAUCUUACUAGACCUCCAUUGAAUUCUUGAAAAGAUAAGAAUUUACUCUUAUCACCAGUCAUAUGAUGUGAACAUCCGCUAUCAAUAAUCCAUUCAUCUUUCUCUUCAAUUUUAGCUGCCAGGGCUUGCUCUACCGGUGGAGCAGUAGGUGUCGGUUGAUCUUUUGUUAUUGCAACAAAAUCCCAUUUAUUGUCUGUCGGUUCUUCAUCAGAAUCAUCAGUAACUCCUUCAUCAGCAUAGUUACAUGAUUUGUCUCUAUUCUUCUUAAAUAUGUAUCUUUGAUAUUCAAGGUUAGGCUUAUAUGUUCUUUUAGCUUCCUCUCUUAAUCUUGCAUGUCUAUCAGGACAUCUAGAUUUUAUGUGACCAACUUUAUUGCAAUUGAAACAUUUAAAUGGUGCUUUACCUUCAUACUUACUUCCAAUUGGACCUUUAGGCAUCUUUCUUGCAAAGAGUGCUUCAAGUUCUUCCAGUUCUUCAUUUUCCCUUCUGAUAUCUUCAAGUUCUCUUGCAUAAAGUGUUUUCCAAUCAGAUGAUGAUGAUGAUGAUGAUGAUGUAGAUGAUGAUGCUUUGAAGGCUAAAUUAGUUUUUACUGUAGCAACAGGACCAAAUUCCUCAAGCUCAAAUGUUGAAAGUUUACCAACCAGGGUAUCUCUAGAAACUGAUGUAUUAGGCAUUGUCCUCAAUUCAUUAAUAGUUGUUACUUUCAUUUUGUAUGCCGGUGGCAAAGCUCUUAAUACUUUAGAAACAAUUUCAUCUUCACUUAAGGAACCUCCACAACAUUGUAUACCCAAAACAAUUGCAUUAACUCUUUCCAUAAAAGCAGAAAUUAUUUCAUCUUCUUCCAUUUUUUAGAUUUUCAUACCUGACCCGAUAACAUUCUAGUUUUGCAAUCUUGAUAGUGGUAUCUCCUUCAUUCAAAGUCUCCAACUUAUCCCAAAUAGCUUUAGCAGUAGAUCGGUCUGAUAAUCCCAUGAUUUGUUGAUCUGAUAAUGUGCUCAAAAGUGUUUCUCUUGCCUUGCAAUCAUUCUCCUGAUCCUUGGCCAAUGUUGGUGGAUUAGGUUGAUUUGUAGUAGGACCAACAUAGCCAUUCUUAGUAACUUCCCAUAUAUCUCUUCCAAUACAAUUCAGAUGUGUCUCCAUUCUGAUCUUCCAUAUACCAUAGUUAGUUCCAUCAAGUUUCGGACUGUCUUUCCUGAAAAUGUUAGUUGCUAUAGGAUCUUCUCAAGCUGUUAGGCUUCUGCAAAAAGAGGACUUAGCUCUAAUACCAAUUGUUAGGACCGAAAGGCAACUGAAAGGGGGAAGUGAAUCAGUUGUCUAUGUAUUUCAACCCAAUUAUGAAUUAAUUCAACUUAAUACUUAAAACCGGUAAACCAAUCUUAAUGUCAGUUAACAGAUUAAUAGUGAAUAUCAAUACCGGUAAAAGUUAAAGUAUGAAACAAAAAUAGAAACAACAUCCACAACAUAUAACACGGAGAUUUUUGACAUGGAAACUCUGCAAGGGGAAAAACCACGGUGGGAAACCUUACCCACUAUCAGAUGAUACUACUACAGAUAGUAUGUGUACAUAAAUGGGGUAGGCACAUGCAGAAAGGCCAACCACCUAGAGCACACCGCUCAAAUGGGAGUCGCAAUGACUACAAUAGGAUGGUUAAAUCCAAGAAUAAUGUAUUGCUCAAAAUAGCAUCUCCAGUGCUGGAUUCAGUACCGGUUUAAGCUCUGAUAAACACCUUCAAACCUUCCUCUAACCUUUGAAUGAUGUCUGCUUGAAUAGCUCUAUGAUCUGUUCAUAUUUGCAUAUACCAAAUACCACACACUGUUACAUUUUUAUCUCACAAAUGAGAUCUUACAUUUAUACCAAACCUAAGACCAAAUGUGUAGGUCGGCUCACUAAGAAUAUUACAUUAAAGUCAAUUACAAAAUAUAUCCAAGUUGUCGGCUUCAAUACAAUAACCAAUAAUAAAUCAUCUCCAUAACGUGUUGUGCUGAUCUGGAAUAGAUAACGUGUACUUGUCCAUAACCUAGACCUAUCUGUCGGUAACAGCAAAUAUGUCAAUCCGAAUAGAUCAAUAACCAAAACACUAAAACCAAGUAUCCAAACCAUGUCUUCGACAUAACCAAGUGAUCUCCAGAUGAUAACAAGUCUUCAUCAAUGCCGGUGAACAUAUACCGGUGACUGUGCAUAAGUCACUAACCUUGCCAGUGAACACAAUGUGCCGGCUCAACAUAACCAUAGAUCUCCAGAAGGAUAAGUGUUGACAUCAAUGACAAAACUAAUGCAACACAUCCAUAAUACCAACACCUUAGACACCAAGAGUACUCAUUGUGUCUGCAAGGGAGCGGAUACAGGUGCACGUAUGUACCAUACUUGGGCGUAUACGGCAAGUAUGUACCAGUGUGUUAAUAACUAGUAAUACUUGUCGUAUACGCAAAGGUAAUUGUACUCGCGUGUACGUGUAUACGUAUCUUGGCAUACACUGGUAAGUAUAUUUCGACAUAACGGUGCGGAUCUGUAUCAUUCCAAGGAAGAGAGUUCUUUUCCGAGUCAACCUAAAGAAGAUUUGACCUCUAACCAAGCUUCCAAAACUUUUUAAAACUGAGAUGAUAAGAUAGCACUUGAAUAAACUUAUUUUUAAUAAGAUCAACUCUUCUAGAAUUAGGAAAUUUGUCCAUACCCCAGCCUAGGAAGGCAGUGGGUGGAAGAUCGCGAUUGUACAUGAUGCCGUAGCAUCAUUUUCGAGAGGUUACUCUCAAGUGGCCGGACAGCAGUGACAUGUUCGGCAGGUUUAAAUCCAUACUUAGGAUUUGUACGUGCAAUUGGUGGCUCCUAUGCCUCUAAUUUCCUAAGCCAGGGGUUCAAUUGAAACAUGUUGAAAACAUUGUAGUUGUGCGAGGAAGAAAUGGUUGAUAACACUUGGAAUACUUAUACUGUAACUAUUGAACGCUAACACCAAGAUGGUCCUUAUAUUUCCUUUUGAGUUCAGUUGAACUCCUUAACCCAGACUUACUACCGAGAAGGGUGAGAUCAUUGACAGCGCGAGAAUUCGUGCUUACAGUGUAAAACCUUGGCCAAGGUGGUGUUGCGUAAUACAUGCACUAGUCUUAUCUUUAGCACCAGAUACACCCUUAGUCAGAGCGUCAUACUAGUAGGGAGUUACCCUUAGUGUAUGACUGACUAAGUGUGUAUGUCCUAACACCAAGUCUCAGAUGGCAUUGAGUUCUCGUAUUCCUUUACCACCCUGUGAAGGGCCGGACCAGUCCAGAAGGACAUGGCAUGGGGAACUAGAUAGUCGGUGGUUGGGCGAAAAAGCGCCCUAAUGAUACUUUCCCUCCUCACCAGUAUCAUGACAGAGUUUGAAGUUCAGAAUUUAGCAUCAGUUGAAAAGCAGAUUGCUUGGGGCUGCUUGUUCUUUACCAUGCCCAUAAGAGCAUUUGUGUGAUUGAUGGAUCUCGUUCAAUUAUAAUAUGGGUACUGAUCAUUCCAAUGUUACUGUUAGAAGCGCCGGUGGUAGCAAUGUGUUCGAUAAUCUCUUUUAUUCUUCUCAAGAUGUGCAGGAGAGAAAGAGGGGCCUGUGCUUUCCAUUUUGGCUGUAGAGGUACCAUUGACAGAGGAAGAGCGCAGGCUAUUUUUUUAUUAUUUUUGUAGAAUGUGCACAAGGGUGACUGACAAGUGGCAAGGGAUUUCCAGGAAUUUUGUGAAGACGAGAAACCAACACAGAUUGCAAGCCAUUCCCAAAAGUAUUAUCUUGGGCAGAGUAAUAUUAACAGAAGGUGCCACAGAUGCAGUUUGUUGGACAUGACAAUCGAUGUGAAAAGAGAAGUGUCAAGGAUAUGCCCACACUAAAAAAGUUGGUCGAAAGAAUGCAUACCACUUUUCUCCCAAGCAGCUAAACAGGUCAAAAAAGGCACAUCUCAAUCAACGUGCUAAGUCAAUUUGGGUUGUUUCGCUGUCUGCAUAUUAUUAUUGUGAAUAUUCUCUCCAAUCACAGGAUACUUCUGUUGCUCAUAUACUCAUUGAGGAGCAGAACUCAAUCAUGCAGCAGACGGAGCCAACCGACGGGCCAUAGGCAUUUGUGUCUCCAGAAGAUCAAAAGUAGAUACAUCAGUAGCAGUGGAACUCAAUCUGUCACAGGGUUAAGCUACCCGCAAGAGGUGUUCCUCUCAAAGGAGUACAAUAACAUGUGGUCAAGCUACAUUCCAUUGGUGGCAAAGGUUUUCUCCAUCCAUAUAGGAGAGAAUUUUCAUCAUUGAUGAUCAUACUCCACUGCAUCAAUGGAGCAUGUUUUCUCCGUGCCUAUUAGAAGGAAUUGUCAUCAUUAAUGUUGGUCAUUUUUUAUAGCGAGCUAUAUUGUUCUUGAAGGUGUAAUGAAAGUGUAGGAUAACAAGUCAUCAUUUUGCGUUAUAUCAAAAAACGAAUUUCCAUAGUAGAUGUCAGGAGCAAUUGUGAUGGGGUUUUAAAAGUCAGUAUGACUUCUAACCAAGUGCAACAAUGGUUCAUAUUUUUUGAAGUAGCUCCGUUGAUGAUCAUACUCCACUGCAUCGAUGGUUCAAGUAUUCUUUAUACCUCUUGGAAGGAAUUUUCAUCUUUGAUGUUGGUCAAUUUUGAUAGCCAGCUAUAUUGUUCUUGUAGAUGUAAUGAAGUUAGGGUUUUCAAAGAGUGGGAUGACAAGUCAUAAUCUUGCAUUAUACCAAUGGUGAGGCUUGCCAUAUAUGUAAAAAUGAAUUUAUAUAGUAGAUGUGCAGAUUUAGAUGUCAGGACAAAUUGUGAUGGGGUUUCAAAAGUUUAGUAAGACAUGUAACCAAACUGUUCUGCAAUAAUGGUUCAUGUUUUGUGAAUUUGCUCUAUUGAUGAUUAUACUCUGCUGCAUUGACGACUCAAGUAUUCUUCAUAGGUCUUGGAAGAAGUUUUUAUCAUCGAUGUUGGUCAAUUUUG